rnacentral:rRNA from 1 species
UCGGGAAUUUUGGGCAAUGGGCGAAAGCCUGACCCAGCAACGCCGCGUGAGGGAUGAAGUAUUUCGGUAUGUAAACCUCGAAAGAAUGGGAAGAAUAAAUGGCGGUACCAUUUAUAAGCUCCGGCUAACUACGUGCCAGCAGCCGCGGUAAUACGUAGGGAGCAAGCGUUGUUCGGAUUUACUGGGCGUAAAGGGCGCGUAGGCGGCGCGGUAAGUCACUUGUGAAAUCUCUGAGCUUAACUCAGAACGGCCAAGUGAUACUGCUGUGCUAGAGUGCGGAAGAGGCAACCGGAAUUCUUGGUGUAGCGGUGAAAUGCGUAGAUAUCAAGAGGAACACCUGAGGCGAAGGCGGGUUGCUGGGCCGACACUGACGCUGACGCGCGAAAGCCAGGGGAGCAAACG